CUGUAUGUGCAGGAAUACAUAAUAAUAUUACAAUUAAUUUAUAUAGCACCUUUCCCAUGCUCAGAACGCUUCACAGAAAUUCAUAGUGACCAACAGGGAAUAUACAAGUAAUGCAAAUAAUAUCUACUUAUAAAACUAAAUAUACUGUAGACAAAUACAGGAAAUUCAAAGUUUUAAUUAGAAUCACAAUACAUACACUACAAGAAAACCCAGAACAAAUUACAUAAGUUCUGAUACAAACCCAAAUCAUCCUGAGCACCUGGACAGAAAAGGCAAAUUGAAAGAAGGGCCAGAAUGGGACACUUGCAGCAGAGAUCUGAAGCAACUGGAACUGUGAUUAUGGGAACAGAAGGGGCACCACUCAGUAGGGAGUUACAGUAGUUGAUGUGGGAUUUAAUAAAACCAUAGACAAGUUUCUCGGCAUUGGAAAAAGAGAGGAAUAAAUAAAAAUGGGAUAUGUUACAGAGACAGAAGCAAGAAAACCUCCAAAUGUGGUUUAUGCAUGUAGAAUAAGAAAGCAAGAAAUCAAAAAUGACAGCAAGAUUCAUUGCAGAAUAAGAAGGUCUGAUGAAACUGUCACCAAGAGUAACUGGAAAACAGCUCAUUUUGUUAAGUUGAGCUUUAGUGGCAUUUAGCAUGACUUCAAAUUUUUAAAAGUUCUAUAUUUCAUCCAAGUUUCAAUUUUACUGAAGGAAGUUUUGAAUUGAAAAAGCUCUGAUUAAUGUUCACUUUUAACAUUGAAAUAGAUCAGAAUAUCAUCCACAUCAAAAUUAUAUUCAUAGUGUUGGACUCUGUUAAUAUGACCAAAGGGGAAGUAUGUACUGUAGCUACAGAAGAGCAGAGGGUCAAGGACAGAGCCUCGUGGAACUCCUUGUGUGACCAGCUCUGAGCUGGACCUGCUGUUGUGAGACUGACAAGCUCUUACCUAUUCAUCAUAUUGGACUUUAACCACUGGAGGGCAAUGGGAGAGAAACCCAGAAUGUUCUUCAGGUUUUAGGAACUCAUGUUUGACAAUAUUGAUUGCUGCACUAAUGUCUAACAGAAUGAAUAUAUUGGUUUACCCAAAGUCUGCUGCCAUAAGAAAAUCAUUAAUUCCUUGAAGCAGAGCAGAACAUCUAUGACGAGAUCUGAGACUAGACUGAAAGGGUUCCAACAGCUUAGUACAAUUUAAGUAACUAGUGAGUUGGAGGGCCACAACUCGCUGAUGAACUUUACAGUAAAGGAAAAGGAGUUUACUUCCACGGUCUGCGUCUGUCAUCCAGAAAUGAAAGGAAGACGCAGCUAUGAUGCCUGACAGAAAAAAACUCCAGAUAUGAAAGGGGAGAGUACCAUCUGAGCGUCAGCCACACAUCUUCAUAUUCUUUGCACACUGUUAUCAUAGCCUUGUUCAAUUCCAUUCAUUUUUCUAUAGCACUCUGCACUGAAUUCAGGAUCAUAAAUCCAUAUUUAGAACAGCUACAUCUUCUUCUUCUUCUUUCGGCUGCUCCUGUUAGGGGUCGCCACAGCGGAUCAUCUUCUUCCAUAUCUUUCUAUCCUCUGCAUAUUGUUUUGUUACACUCAUCACAUACAUGCCAUCUCUCACCACAGCCAUAAAUCUUCACUUAGGCCUUCCUCUUUUUCUCUUGCCUGACAGCUCUGUCCUUAGCAUCCUUCUCCCAAUAUACUCAGCAU